AAAACUUCUGGAAACAAAUGAAGAUGACAAUACAUCAUAUAAAAACCUAUAGGAUACAUUUGGUGUAUGUGCUUGGCUGAGGAGCCAAUGGGGCGAAGCUACCAUCUGUGGGAUUAUGACUGAACGCCUCUAAGUCAGAAUCCCCGCCCAGGCGGAACGAUGCAGCAGCGCUGAAGGAGCCUCGCUUGGCCUCGGAUAGCCGGUCCCCCACCGUCCCCGCCGGCGGCCCGCGUUGUGUGUCCGCCUCGGCAGCGUGCAGUGCGCCCCCCGCCGCGCGUCGGGACCAGGGUCUGGUGCAGAGAGCCCUUCCUCCCGGGAAAUGGGGCGUGGCCAGAAAGGGGGCCGCCCUCUCGCCCGUCACGCACCGCACGUUUGUGGGGAACCUGGCGCUAAACCAUUCGUAGAUGACCUGCUUCUGGGUCGGGGUUUCGUACGUAGCAGAGCAGCUCCCUCACCGCGAUCUAUUGAAAGUCAGCCCUCGACACAAGGGUUU
rnacentral:ncRNA from 1 species